UUGGCUUUUCUGCUCAGGGAGGGGUUUCAACCAGCAGAUGGUCCUCAAGUCUUAUUGGCUCAUGCCUCCUCCCUGUGUCUCUGUCACCGUAAUGAAAAGGAGGAAUUGUGCACAACUGUGACGUCGCCCCCCUCCACCCAUUCACUCGUGUCCUCUCUCUGCCUGUUUCUCUCCUUGCUUUCAUCUCCUUGACUGGCUCUGCGACUGACGGAGGAUAGGUGGUCAUGUGAUGUUAUAAUACCCAGGGAUUUUCUGCCAGGCAUGCGCUGUAAGAUCCCUUCCUCCCUCCAUCCAUUCCUACCUGAGGAGAGGUUGCCUAUUAUUGUCCUGCAUCCAGCCGCUUGCUUAGCUCUCCUUCCAACAGGAUCUAUUGUUAGCUGAUGAUGACGUUUACCAUGGCUCUGACUGAGGGCUGGAUAGUGUGUUAGAACCCUGUCCUCUAACAUACUCACCAAAACACACACACGCUGGAAUAUAUGCACAGUUGAGAGACAGCAGCAGGGACGUGGCUGUAAUACUCCUCUAAUCACAGCCCACAUACUCAUGCUGAGAAAAGCAUAAACUGAGCCAGCCAAUCACGAUGUCCCUGCCCUAAUAUAUGUGGACCCCACAGUAUAAGGGGAGAAAGAUUCCUGCUUCCAACAUCCUUUUUCUCUUCAGCGAUGGCAAGUAGCACACUGAGCAGCUUCCACAAUGGAUGGAGUCGCCAUUUCAAGAACCUUGUCAGUUCCUUGGUGCAGCCCAGGCAGAGAGCAGCGUUCAGCAGCCACCAGCCUGCAAGUCCAGCUUGGCGCUGGCCUAGUUUAAACGCCAGCAGCGGUGGGAUCACUCCAGAUGCUUCGCUGCCAUGAAGAUUACAUUCCUCAAGAGCAUUUCCCUCUUCCUUCCUCACCGGAUUCAUCAUUACUGAAUUUGGCUUUGUUUGAGUGUGUUGAGGAGCUGAGGAAGCCAUUUCGAGGCUGCAGAGCAGGAGCGAAGUUAAAGGCUAGGAGGUGGAGAUACAAGCCUUUCCUGCCGUCGGUCAUUAUGGGGAAUGUAAACUCUUUAUCAAACAAAUGUGACAAGCUGCUGGGACUGCUGAGGACCCGGUGACUAUACAGGGAGUGUAGUGUUUAUGUGCUUCAUGGAAACGUGGCUGAAUGACAAUGUGCCUGACUCUGUGUGAAUCUACCGGGCUUCUCUACUGUGUGAGCGGACAGGGAUGCAGAGGCGAGCGGUAAAAAAACAGAGGUGGGGGACUGAUCCCACUUGUGAACAAUAAAUGGUGUCAUCCUGGACGUAUCAGAGUGAAGGACAAGAUCUGGUGUCAGGAUUUGGAACUGUUGGCAGUUGAUCUUAGACCGCAUUAUGUGCCAUGGGAGUUUUCGCACAUAGUCGCCAUUAUUGUUUACAUUCCACCGAGAGUAGCA